AUGUGGAGAAAAAGGUUGUAUUUAAGUGGAAAAGAGGUGCUUCUCAAUGCGCUGGCACAAGCUAUCCCUUCAUAUGUGGUGUCAAUCUUCAAAAUCCCCAAAAAUAUAUGUAAGGGGAUUACUGAUUUGAUGUCACAUUUUUGUUGGGGUGACAAGGAAAAUCAAAAGAGAAUGCAUUGGUUUGCUUGGAUGAAGAUGUGUGUACCACAGAAGAAGGGUGCAAUGAAAUGUAGAGAUAUACACUACUUCAAUCUUGCGAUGUUACGAAAAGAAGCAUGUAGAUUGAUUUCAUAUCCUGUCUCACUUUGUGCCAGAGUGUUAAAAGCAAGCUAUUAUCCGAUUGAGGAUCUUUUGCACCUCAUUUGA
rnacentral:rRNA from 1 species